rnacentral:rRNA from 1 species
GAUGAACGCUGGCGGCGUGCCUAAUACAUGCAAGUCGAGCGAACAGACGAGGAGCUUGCUCCUCUGACGUUAGCGGCGGACGGGUGAGUAACACGUGGAUAACCUACCUAUAAGACUGGGAUAACUUCGGGAAACCGGAGCUAAUACCGGAUAAUAUAUUGAACCGCAUGGUUCAAUAGUGAAAGACGGUUUUGCUGUCACUUAUAGAUGGAUCCGCGCCGCAUUAGCUAGUUGGUAAGGUAACGGCUUACCAAGGCAACGAUGCGUAGCCGACCUGAGAGGGGGAACGGCCAAACUGGAACUGAGACACGGUCCAGACUCCUACGGGAGGCAGCAGUAGGGAAUCUUCCGCAAUGGGCGAAAGCCUGACGGAGCAACGCCGCGUGAGUGAUGAAGGUCUUCGGAUCGUAAAACUCUGUUAUUAGGGAAGAACAAAUGUGUAAGUAACUAUGCACGUCUUGACGGUACCUAAUCAGAAAGCCACGGCUAACUACGUG